CCUACGGGAGGCAGCAGGUGGGGAAUAUUGGACAAUGGGCGAAAGCCUGAUCCAGCAAUGCCGCGUGAGUGAUGAAGGCCUUAGGGUUAUAAAGCUCUUUUACCCGGGAUGAUAAUGACAGUACCGGGAGAAUAAGCUCCGGCUAACUCCGUGCCAGCAGCCGCGGUAAUACGGAGGGAGCUAGCGUUGUUCGGAAUUACUGGGCGUAAAGCGCACGUAGGCGGCUUUGUAAGUUAGAGGUGAAAGCCUGGAGCUCAACUCCAGAAUUGCCUUUAAGACUGCAUCGCUUGAAUCCAGGAGAGGUGAGUGGAAUUCCGAGUGUAGAGGUGAAAUUCGUAGAUAUUCCGGAAGAACACCAGUGGCGAAGGCGGCUC
rnacentral:rRNA from 1 species